UACGUAGGGGGCUAGCGUUGUCCGGAUUUAUUGGGCGUAAAGAGCGUGUAGGCGGCCAGGUAGGUCUGCUGUGAAACUCGAGGCUCAACCUCGAGACGUCGGCGGAAACCAUCUGGCUAGAGUCCGGAAGAGGAGAGUGGAAUUCCGUGGUGUAGCGGUGAAAUGCGCAGAGUAUCAGGAAGAACACCCGUGGCGAAGGCGGCUCUCUGGGACGGUACUGACGCUGAGACGCGAAGCGUGGGAGCGAACAGG
rnacentral:rRNA from 1 species